rnacentral:rRNA from 1 species
CGCAUCUGUGCAUGCAGCAUAUCAAUAAGCGGAGGAAAAGAAACUAACAAGGAUUCCCCUAGUAACGGCGAGUGAAGCGGGAAGAGCUCAAAUUUGAAAUCUUAAAGGGUUUCCCUUUACGAAUUGUAGUUUAAAGAAGUGUUUUCUGUUGAGGUUUUGGUAAAAGUUCUUUGGAAUAGGACAUCAUAGAGGGUGAGAAUCCCGUAUUUGACCUUUACUUUCAACUUUGUGAUACACUUUCAAAGAGUCGGAUUGUUUGGGAAUGCAGUCCAAAAUGGGUGGUAAAUUUCAUCUAAAGCUAAAUAUUGGCGAGAGACCGAUAGCGAACAAGUACCGUGAGGGAAAGAUGAAAAGAACUUUGAAAAGAGAGUUAAACAGUACGUGAAAUUGUCAAAAGGGAAGCGUUUGACACCAGUGUUGUUUUUCCGAAAAUCAAUUACGAAUGGCUUGAUUUUGUGUUGUAUUGACCUUAUCAGCUUUCUGCACUUUUUUCGAGUCUUUCUUAAUGCACUUUUCGGUUAACAAGUCAACAUCAAUUUCUUUUGUUGUAAAAGAGUAUUCGGAAGGUGGCUUUCUUUUCGGAGAAAGUGUUUAUAGCCCUAUACUUCUACAAUCGGAGAGAUUGAGGUCUGCAGCGUAGAUCCUUCGGGGUUAGAUACAUUUGUGCUAAGUUGUAGCUUUUCAUAGACAACUUGUUGACUAUGUUUAGUCAUGCGGCUUACUCGCUUAUGCUAUUUUACCUACGCUUAGGAUGUUGAGCGCAUGUCUCUCUCU